rnacentral:rRNA from 1 species
GACGAACGCUGGCGGCGUGCUUAACACAUGCAAGUCGUACGGAAAGGCCCUGCUUUUGUGGGGUGCUCGAGUGGCGAACGGGUGAGUAACACGUGAGUAACCUGCCCUUGACUUUGGGAUAACUUCAGGAAACUGGGGCUAAUACCGGAUAGGAGCUCCUGCUGCAUGGUGGGGGUUGGAAAGUUUCGGCGGUUGGGGAUGGACUCGCGGCUUAUCAGCUUGUUGGUGGGGUAGUGGCUUACCAAGGCUUUGACGGGUAGCCGGCCUGAGAGGGUGACCGGCCACAUUGGGACUGAGAUACGGCCCAGACUCCUACGGGAGGCAGCAGUGGGGAAUAUUGCACAAUGGGCGGAAGCCUGAUGCAGCAACGCCGCGUGCGGGAUGACGGCCUUCGGGUUGUAAACCGCUUUCGCCUGUGACGAAGCGUGAGUGACGGUAAUGGGUAAAGAAGCACCGGCUAACUACGUGCCAGCAGCCGCGGUGAUACGUAGGGUGCGAGCGUUGUCCGGAUUUAUUGGGCGUAAAGGGCUCGUAGGUGGUUGAUCGCGUCGGAAGUGUAAUCUUGGGGCUUAACCCUGAGCGUGCUUUCGAUACGGGUUGACUUGAGGAAGGUAGGGGAGAAUGGAAUUCCUGGUGGAGCGGUGGAAUGCGCAGAUAUCAGGAGGAACACCAGUGGCGAAGGCGGUUCUCUGGGCCUUUCCUGGCGCUGAGGAGCGAAAGCGUGGGGAGCGAACAGGCUUAGAUACCCUGGUAGUCCACGCUGUAAACGGUGGGUACUAGGUGUGGGGUCCAUUCCACGGGUUCCGUGCCGUAGCUAACGCUUUAAGUACCCCGCCUGGGGAGUACGGCCGCAAGGCUAAAACUCAAAGGAAUUGACGGGGCCCCGCACAAGCGGCGGAGCAUGCGGAUUAAUUCGAUGCAACGCGUAGAACCUUGCCUGGGUUUGACAUGGAUCGGGAGCGCUCAGAGAUGGGUGUGCCUCUUUUGGGGUCGGUUCACAGGUGGUGCAUGGCUGUCGUCAGCUCGUGUCGUGAGAUGUUGGGUUAAGUCCCGCAACGAGCGCAACCCUUGUUCACUGUUGCCAGCACGUUAUGGUGGGGACUCAGUGGAGACCGCCGGGGUCAACUCGGAGGAAGGUGGGGAUGACGUCAAGUCAUCACGCCCCUUAUGUCCAGGGCUUCACGCAUGCUACAAUGGCUGGUACAGAGAGUGGCGAGCCUGUGAGGGUGAGCGAAUCUCGGAAAGCCGGUCUCAGUUCGGAUUGGGGUCUGCAACUCGACCUCAUGAAGUCGGAGUCGCUAGUAAUCGCAGAUCAGCAACGCUGCGGUGAAUACGUUCCCGGG